GGAGGAAAAGAAACCAACAGGGAUUGCCUCAGUAACGGCGAGUGAAGCGGCAACAGCUCAAAUUUGAAAUCUGGCCCUUUCAGGGUCCGAGUUGUAAUUUGCAGAGGGUGCUUUGGCGUCGGCCGUGGUCUAAGUUCCUUGGAACAGGACGUCACAGAGGGUGAGAAUCCCGUACGUGGCCGCCGGUCUUCGCCGUGUAAAGCCCCUUCGACGAGUCGAGUUGUUUGGGAAUGCAGCUCUAAAUGGGAGAUACAUUUCUUCUAAAGCUAAAUAUUGGCCAGAGACCGAUAGCGCACAAGUAGAGUGAUCGAAAGAUGAAAAGCACUUUGGAAAGAGAGUCAAAAAGCACGUGAAAUUGUUGAAAGGGAAGCGCUUGCAGCCAGACGUGCCCGCAGUUGCUCACCCAGGCUCUUGCCUGGGGCACUCUUCUGCGGGCAGGCCAGCAUCAGUUCGGGCGGUUGGAUAAAGGUCUCUAUCACGUACCACCCUUCGGGGUGUCCUUAUAGGGGAGACGCAACACGGCCAGCCUGAACUGAGGACCGCGCAUCAGCUAGGAUGCUGGCGUAAUGGCUGUAAGCGGCCCGUCUUGAAACACGGACCAAGGAGUCUAACAUCUAUGCGAGUGUUUGGGUGUAAAGCCCGGGCGCGCAAUGAAAGUGAACGGAGGUGGGAACCCUUUGGGUGCACCAUCGACCGAUCCUGAAGUCUUCGGAUGGAUUUGAGUAAGAGCAUAGCUGUUGGGACCCGAAAGAUGGUGAACUAUGCCUGAAUAGGGUGAAGCCAGGGGAAACCCUGGUGGAGGCUCGCAGCGGUUCUGACGUGCAAAUCGAUCGUCAAAUUUGGGCAUAGGGGCGAAAGACUAAUCGA
rnacentral:rRNA from 2 species